UCAAAUACAAGAGAAAGGGAUGAU
rnacentral:siRNA from 1 species